GAUGAACGCUGGCGGCGUGCCUAAUACAUGCAAGUCGAGCGAACGGACGAGAAGCUUGCUUCUCUGAUGUUAGCGGCGGACGGGUGAGUAACACGUGGAUAACCUACCUAUAAGACUGGGAUAACUUCGUGAAACCGGAGCUAAUACCGGAUAAUAUUUUGAACCGCAUGGUUCAAAAGUGAAAGACGGUCUUGCUGUCACUUAUAGAUGGAUCCGCGCUGCAUUAGCUAGUUGGUAAGGUAACGGCUUACCAAGGCAACGAUGCAUAGCCGACCUGAGAGGGUGAUCGGCCACACUGGAACUGAGACACGGUCCAGACUCCUACGGGAGGCAGCAGUAGGGAAUCUUCCGCAAUGGGCGAAAGCCUGACGGAGCAACGCAGCGUGAGUGAUGAAGGUCUUCGGAUCGUAAAACUCUGUUAUUAGGGAAGAACAUAUGUGUAAGUAACUGUGCACAUCUUGACGGUACCUAAUCAGAAAGCCACGGCUAACUACGUG
rnacentral:rRNA from 1 species